CCUUGCCUACGGGGCGCAGCAGUGGGGAAUAUUGCACAAUGGGGGGAACCCUGAUGCAGCGACGCCGCGUGGGCGAUGGAGUAUUUCGGUAUGUAAAGCCCUAUCGGCAGGGAAGAAACUGACAGUACCUGACUAAGAAGCCCCGGCUAACUACGUGCCAGCAGCCGCGGUAAUACGUAGGGGGCAAGCGUUAUCCGGAUUCACUGGGCGUAAAGGGAGCGCAGGCGGCACGGCAAGCCUGGGGUGAAAACCCGGGGCCCAACCCCGGGAGGGCAUUUGGAACUGCCGCGCUAGAGUGGCGGCGG
rnacentral:rRNA from 1 species